rnacentral:tRNA from 1 species
GGGGCUAUAGCUCAGCUGGGAGAGCGCCUGCUUUGCACGCAGGAGUCUGCGGUUCGAUCCGCAUAGCUCCACCA